rnacentral:rRNA from 1 species
GUCCUCUUGUUUGUAUAUGAGGUCUGACCUGCCCAGUGAAAUUUUAUUUUAACGGCCGCAGUAUUUUGACUGUGCAAAGGUAGCAUAAUCAUUAGUCUUUUAAUAGGGGGCUGGUAUGAAGGGUUUGACGAGGUGUUAACUGUCUCAUUUAAUUUGUAUUUAAAAUUUAACUUUUCAGUUAAAAGGCUGAAAUUAUAUUGGAAGACGAGAAGACCCUAUAGAGCUUUAUAAUUAUGAUUUUAAUUAUUUUUUGUUUAUCAUUUUUUAUUAUUAUUUUAAUUAUUUUGUUGGGGUGACAAAAAUAUAUAAAUAACUUUUUUAUUUAAGUAACAUUGAUUUAUGAAUACUAGAUCCAUUAUUAUUGAUUGUUAGAUUAAGUUACC